CCUGGGAACCUCCAUAUGCUGCAGGUGUGGCCCUAAAAAGACAAAAGAUCAAAAAAAUAAAUAAAUAAAUAAAAAGGAGCCAAGACUAACAAGGAGCAGUUACGGGCCCUGAAACCGUCCAGCUCGGUGGCCGGUUGAGAAAGCUGUUUGCUCACCGAAAGUGGGGAAGAGCACGUGUUUGCUCAGAGCUUUUCCCUGGUGAAAUUUUAUGUAUCUUGAAGUGAAUGGUGUUUGCUGUCUUUGACUUGAGCACUUGAUAAAUGGUUGUUUGCACUGAAGUAACUGGAUCCACGUGGAGGUGACACGAGGGUUUGCCAAACCUCCAAGAAACAAGCGAAAGGCAGGGUGUGGCCCUGGUCCCUGUAACCUGGGGUUCCAGGAGUUCAGUCCUUUGUGUUCCCACCACCCCUCCAUCCCGGCUUGUUGAUGUUAGGAGAAAACUAACUGGGUUAAUAAUCCAAAGACCUUUGUAAAUGACUUAACCCAUCGAGGUCUGCGUGGACCGUUUCCAUGCCCGGGGCACAGGCGCCUGUCUUACUCCCGUGUUUGCUAACGACUGGCUUUGUAUUUACUCUGUAGAAAUCUUCUGUGUAUGUCCGUUUCCCUUUUUUGAUGGGUAGUUUCCUAGAGAGAGUGGCUGUUGAGGCCUGUCUUUGGCUGCUCAGCUCCUGUAUCAGCAAGACGCAGCACGGGUGGUGAGUCCAGCUCCGACUGAGGCUCAGGUGAGCCUGCAGGUUGUGGCCAGAGAGCUGAGUUGCCUGGGGUGGGUCAGACCGGCCCGCUUCUGUUGCAGCUCUUCUCAUCCGCUGGGAGCCAGAUCAGAAAGGUCUGCAGAGCUUUUUCUUUACUAGUUAGAGUUGCUUCGAGUCACUGACACUUGCUGCUCUUGCCUUUCUUCCUGGAGAAACCUGACACAGAACUGCGGUGUUUUCAGACGGUAAUUCUAGAUGACAGGCCACACCCAUAGAGUGAUGCAUCCAGACAGUGAUUCUGAAACCUCCUCGUAGCAGGGCCUCCUUAGAGUCUCGGAUCGCCAAGGGCCCUGAGGAGCCUCUGUUUAGAUGUGGGUUGUAUCUGUUGGGAGUUGUGGUGUUGGAAAGUAAAGCCACGGGGUUAAAAUAGUUAAUACGCUAUAACGACAAGUAGUUGUGUUGCACGGACAGGAAAGCCAAUAUGUAUUAAUAAAUCGUAUUCUUAUGAAAUAAUUGUUUAAAACUGAACGAAAUUGUAACGAGAAGAGUGGUGUUGCUUCACCUUUGUCAAAGUCCCCUUGAGACCUGGCUUAAUAAAAGCAGCAGGUGGUUGCUGCACUCGUUUCAGUGGAAGUGUGUGGAAGAAAUCUGGCUUGACGCAGAUCUGAGUCUGAGAGGAGGAGUGUCGGGGCCUUUUCAGGUGGUCGUGGACGGUCGUUGCUGCCACCUCGGAGCUCAGGUCCUGGUGUCUUAAAAGCCAGUUGCCGUGCUGGGCCAGGAGCCCUGUCAGCUGCCGCGAGCCUCGUCUGUAGCCAGGCGGCUUUGUGCCAUCACGCCCGUCACUGGAGGUCUUGCUUCUCUGAGCCCGCAGGUCUUCUGGACGCCACACCCAGUCCAGCAUUGCCUCCGCGGGCCUCACAUCCCUGCUGCUCUCCUCAGAAACGUUUGGAAGGAGUUCCUGCUGUGGUGCCACCGGAUCUGCGGAUCUGCGGUUUCUUGGGAGCCGUGGGGCGCAGGUUCAAUCACCAGCCCCGGCACAGUGGGUUAAGGAUCUGGCAUUGCCACAGCUGUGGCUUGCGUUGCAACUGCGGCUUGGCUCUGAUCCCU
ensembl:lncRNA